GUGCCAGCAGCCGCGGUAAUACGUAGGGGGCUAGCGUUGUCCGGAUUUAUUGGGCGUAAAGAGCGUGUAGGCGGCCAGGCAGGUCCGCUGUGAAAACUCGAGGCUUAACCUCGAGACGUCGGUGGAAACCGUCUGGCUAGAGUCCGGAAGAGGAGAGUGGAAUUCCCGGUGUAGCGGUGGAAUGCGCAGAUAUCGGGAAGAACACCCGUGGCGAAGGCGGCUCUCUGGGACGGUACUGACGCUGAGACGCGAAAGCGUGGGGAGCGAACAGGAUUAGAUACCCUGGUAGUCCACGCCGUAAACGAUGGGUGCUAGGUGUGGGCGGUGUCGACUCCGUCCGUGCCGAAGCUAACGCAUUAAGCACCCCGCCUGGGGAGUACGGCCGCAAGGCUAAAACUCAAAUGAAUUGACGGGA
rnacentral:rRNA from 1 species